GUGGGGAAUCUUAGACAAUGGGCGCAAGCCUGAUCUAGCCAUGCCGCGUGAGCGAUGAAGGCCUUAGGGUUGUAAAGCUCUUUCGUGGGGGAAGAUAAUGACUGUACCCCAAGAAGAAGCCCCGGCUAACACCGUGCCAGCAGCCGCGGUAAUACGGAGGGGGCUAGCGUUGUUCGGAAUUACUGGGCGUAAAGCGCACGUAGGCGGACUGGAAAGUCAGGGGUGAAAUCCCGGGGCUCAACCCCGGAACUGCCUUUGAAACUCCCAGUCUUGAGUUCGAGAGAGGUGAGUGGAAUUCCGAGUGUAGAGGUGAAAUUCGUAGAUAUUCGGAGGAACACCAGUGGCGAAGGCGGCUCACUGGCUCGAUACUGACGCUGAGGUGCGAAAGCGUGGGGAGCAAACAGGAUUAGAUACCCGUGUAGUCC
rnacentral:rRNA from 1 species